AGCCAUUAGAUGAUAUUACAUGGUUUUACCUGCCCAAUGUUAUACAUGAAUGGCCGCGGUACUCUGACCGUGCUAAGGUAGCGUAAUCAGUUGACCUUUAAAUGAGGUCAGGAAUGAAUGGAAUAACCGGGUUUAGCUGUCUCUGUGUCACUAUAUUGAAUUUACUAUCUAAGUGAAAAAGCUUAGGGUUAAAAAAGGGAGGAGAAGACCCUUAGAAUUUUUUUUAAAAGGAAAUAAAAUUUUCUUACAAUUUUAUUGGGGCGGUAAAGAAAUAAUUAAAACUUUCUUUUAUUACAAGCCGAUUAUAUUAAGUGAGAAUAAAUUACCUGAGGGAUAACAGCAUAAUUCUAUAAAUGAGUUUGUGACCUCGAUGUUGGACUAGGAAACUAGCAGGCUAGCCGUUUGCUAUGUUAGGUUCUGUUCGAACUUUUAUUCCU
rnacentral:rRNA from 1 species